UGCCAGACUCCUACGGGAGGCAGCAGUGAGGAAUAUUGGUCAAUGGUCGGGAGACUGAACCAGCCAAGCCGCGUGAGGGAAUAAGGCCCUACGGGUCGUAAACCUCUUUUGCCGGGGAGCAAGGGCGGGGACGUGUCCCGGCCCGGAGAGUACCCGGAGAAAAAGCAUCGGCUAACUCCGUGCCAGCAGCCGCGGUAAUACGGAGGAUGCGAGCGUUAUCCGGAUUUAUUGGGUUUAAAGGGUGCGUAGGCGGGCUUUUAAGUCAGCGGUAAAAAUUCGGGGCGCAACCCCGUCCGGCCGUUGAAACUGGGGGCCUUGAGUGGGCGAGAAGAAGGCGGAAUGCGUGGUGUAGCGGUGAAAUGCAUAGAUAUCGCGCAGAACUCCGAUUGCGAAGGCAGCAUGCCGGCUCCACACUGACGCUGAGGCACGAAAGCGUGGGUAUCGAACAGGAUUAGAUACCCCAGUAC
rnacentral:rRNA from 1 species